AUGCCUAGGAAUCUGCCUGGUAGUGGGGGAUAACGUUCGGAAACGGACGCUAAUACCGCAUACGUCCUACGGGAGAAAGCAGGGGACCUUCGGGCCUUGCGCUAUCAGAUGAGCCUAGGUCGGAUUAGCUAGUUGGUGGGGUAAUGGCUCACCAAGGCGACGAUCCGUAACUGGUCUGAGAGGAUGAUCAGUCACACUGGAACUGAGACACGGUCCAGACUCCUACGGGAGGCAGCAGUGGGGAAUAUUGGACAAUGGGCGAAAGCCUGAUCCAGCCAUGCCGCGUGUGUGAAGAAGGUCUUCGGAUUGUAAAGCACUUUAAGUUGGGAGGAAGGGUUGUAGAUUAAUACUCUGCAAUUUUGACGUUACCGACAGAAUAAGCACCGGCUAACUCUGUGCCAGCAGCCGCGGUAAUACAGAGGGUGCAAGCGUUAAUCGGAAUUACUGGGCGUAAAGCGCGCGUAGGUGGUUUGUUAAGUUGGAUGUGAAAUCCCCGGGCUCAACCUGGGAACUGCAUUCAAAACUGACUGACUAGAGUAUGGUAGAGGGUGGUGGAAUUUCCUGUGUAGCGGUGAAAUGCGUAGAUAUAGGAAGGAACACCAGUGGCGAAGGCGACCACCUGGACUAAUACUGACACUGAGGUGCGAAAGCGUGGGGAGCAAACAGGAUUAGAUACCCUGGUAGUCCACGCCGUAAACGAUGUCAACUAGCCGUUGGAAGCCUUGAG
rnacentral:rRNA from 1 species